UACGUAGGUGGCAAGCGUUGUCCGGAUUUACUGGGCGUAAAGGGCGCGUAGGCGGCCACGACAAGUCACUUGUGAAAUCUCCGGGCUUAACUCGGAACGGUCAAGUGAUACUGUCGGGCUAGAGUGCGGAAGGGGCAACUGGAAUUCUCGGUGUAGCGGUGAAAUGCGUAGAUAUCGAGAGGAACACCUGCGGCGAAGGCGGGUUGCUGGGCCGACACUGACGCUGAGGCGCGAAAGCUAGGGGAGCGAACGGG
rnacentral:rRNA from 1 species